GACGAACGCUGGCGGCGUGCCUAAUACAUGCAAGUAGAACGCAGUUGCGAACGGGUGAGAAACGCGUAGGUAAAUGCCUCGUAGCGGGGGAUUACCAUCUGAAACGAUAGCUAAUACCGCAUACAGUUAGACGGAUCGGCGUUGUAUUAGGUAGUUGGUGAGGUAAAGGCUCACCAUGGCGCCGAUACAUUGCCGGCCUGAGAGGGAUAUCCGCCACAACUGGACUGGAACACGGGCCCGACUCCUUCGGGGAGCAGCCGUAGGGGAUCUUCGGCAAUGGACGGAAGUCUGACCAAGCAACGCCGCGUGAGGGGAGAAGGGUUUCGGAUCGUAAAACCCUGUUGUUAGGGAAGCGGUAACUAACCAGAAAGGGACGGCUAACUACGUGCCAGCAGCCGCGGUAAUAC
rnacentral:rRNA from 1 species